GUGAAAACCUUAAGCUGGAACUGCCGUGGGAUAGGCGAUCCCACGAUAGUUCAAGAACUCCGUGACCUUGUGGAGAUCAGUUCGCCUACUAUCCUUUGUUUAGUUGAAACUCAAUUAUGAAAAAGUCGUGUUGAAGGUCUUCGUUUCUCUUUAGUGUAUGAUUUUAGUUUUGGAGUAGGUAGCCAUGGUCAUAGUGGUGGUAUUUGUAUCUUCUGGAAGAAUUCAAUGGAUGUUGCAAUAAUUUUUUUAGAGUAUCAUGUGGAUGCAUGUGUGCUAGAACCGGGCAAGGAGCAAUGUCGACUAUCAUGUUUCGAUGGAGAAGCAACUCGGAGUUUCCGCUAUAAAACCUGUAACACAAUGAAGAGGUUGAGGGGGGAAAGCACCCUUCCAUGGUUGUGCAUAGGCGAUUUCAACGAGAUUUUGAGGCCCGAGGAGCAACAUGGCCCCAAUGCACGGGAUAGUGCCCAGAUUGAGGCAUUCAGAGAGGCAGUAGACAUGCAUGGGCUCGCUAACUUGGGAUACCGAGGUCUGGACUGGACAUGGGAGAAGAAAGUAGCCGAUGGCCACUACUGUCAAGUAUGUUUGGAUAGAGCUUUGGGCUCGGCCUGCUGGCCUGCACUUUUCCCUUUCACCACCGUUGAGCACCUCACCGCGGUGAAGUCCGAUCAUUGUCCUAUACUAUUAGAGACGGACCAUGUUGACAUGAGCAUUCGGGCCAAGCAAAAGCAGUUUCGAUAUGAAUGUAUGUGCGAACGGGACCCGAAGUUCAAUGAUAUUGUGGCUGAAGCCUGGAACUCCACAAAAAGGGCUCAAAUAGUUUUGGGAUUGUCAAAAAAGUUGGCCUCUGUUACCUACAAUUUGCAAAGGUGGGGCCGAACUAAUUUUGGAGCGGUCCGGUCGGAGGCUCGGAGCUCCGCUCUUUACGCCUGCAGCUUGCUGAACUGCGCGCCUCCAGACCACAUUGGUCCAUUGAUUGAGGAGGAGCGGAUCGAGGCCCGGAUGGUCGAACUAUGCUUACGGGAAGAGAUUAUGUGGCGCCAGAGAGCGCGCAUCUAG
rnacentral:rRNA from 1 species